UAUAGUUCUGAUGUACUUCCAUUUUUAGCCAAAUUGUGUGAAUGGUGGGGGCUACAGAUAGGACAGCGCAUGCUUACACUGUUUGUGAACACAUAGUGACAUUCAUAUUCUGCUGUCCAUUCAUAUAAUUUUCCGUAAAAGUCAAGAGACGGUAUUAAUUUGUAGUGACGUUCUAUAUUUAACAAUUUCAAUUUACGCCAAAUGAUAUUAUUUGUUACUAAGGAAAACAGGCUCACCCCAAAGUCAGGGUCAUUGUCAACACCAACAACAUCGUUUUGACAUGCGAAACCAACUCUUCCAUUGUACCCCUUGACCAUGAUCUUGCAAGGGUAUACAAGUGGCAGAGAAACGGACAAGAUGUUGAGACUAGUGGAGGUUCCACGCUUCAGGACAAAGCUUGGCUGUGACUGAUGUGAAGAAAGAGGACCUGGGUAACUACUCAUGUCAAGCUACAGAGGAAGGUCUCGCAUCCAACUGGAGUGAUACAGUCGAUCUCAACAUGCUAGCAAAACCUGAAGUUGGAGAGCUAACAGUGAAUGGAACAGAGUAUAUAACUGUGAAAGAAAAUCAAGUUGUCGUCUUCAGAUGCAUGGUUCAGGAUUAUCUAUCCCCAGCUGUAUUUCUUAUUCAGGAAAACAGCUUGGCAUCAGUGAAUAUGUGGAAGAAACAACAGAAUGUGUAUGAACAUGCUAUGGUUGUACGGAAGUGCUCUCGGCUUGGGGUGUAUUCUUGUAGAGCCACGAAUGUUGCUGGUACAUCAGAAGAUGAACAACAUACAGUUGUCUUGAAAGGAAUGCCACGAAAAGCAGCAUCACAUGUUUUGUGACCAAUGGAAAGACUCCUUCAAUCGUCAUCAAUAUUACGCUGUGUUCAUACCCAGCACCAUCGAAACCAACAUUGCGUUUCACACAGUCAGGAAAUCUAAGAGACAUCACUGACCUGAAGAAGUGUCACCUGGAAAGCAAGAAUAUAAAACACAAUGUAUUUGAAUAUUCGCUCAUGUCUUAAAUAAUAUCACCGACGCAGACUUUGGGGUAUACAUAUUCAGUGUGGAAUAUAAUCACUCUUCAACUGAUUUCAUUAUUCCUGCCUCCAGAAUAACAGGUACUCCAGAAUCGAGUCUUCCUCUGGUUGUCGGUUGUUCAGUCGUUGCUGCAAUUGUAACGAUGGUCAUCAUUGCUGGUGUGAUAAUGUCACGACUCAACCAGUUAAGAGACUAUUGGAACCUAAGGCAAGUAGUAUAUCGUUAUUCUUCAUUUGUUUGAACAUUUCAUAUAUAAUAAAGUGUGAUCGUGUUUAUGCAUGCAUUAGAGAACGUUCUGCUAAUCCCACUAUAAUCCAUAGGUUUCGAUCGUACAUCACACCCAUGCAGAACAUGCCAGAACAUAUCGAUGAUCGAGAGUAUGCUGAAAUCGACGAUGCUGAUUUACCUGACGUGGCGAAGGCAGCAUUGUGCAACCUGUUGUUAAUGUCCCGGAUGAUAACAACAUUCCACCGGCAUGCAGUGCAAGUCACAGACUGGAACGGCAGCAGCUGGAAGGUGAAGAUGAUGAAUAUGAAGAGGUGAGACCACUGGACCCUAUCAACAGUGAGGAACACAGAGAGGAUCAUGAAAGGAGACCUGAAAUGUGGCAGCCAGACACGGAUGAGAUGUUCAUGACAUUAUCUGGCUCCAAUACUCAUUCAGAACCCAGGAUUGUAGUUGCUGAUUGGUCGGCUGGUGGAAGAGAAUCUGGAAAUAUGGCAGCAGCGAUAAUAAAUCAGUCUGCGGAAACAAGCUUCAUGACUCACGUACCUGAUGAAACAGACACUGACAAGUUACCCACGGCCAGUGGAAUGUAUUUUGGAACAGAUGGGGUGACGGCAACUGAGGCAGAAGCAACUGAGCCUUUGGUGGAAUUAAGAGAGGAUUUUGAUGAAAGUGAACAGCAUGAUUUGCCUUUCAACAGAUAUGAGAGUCUGAUGCCGCGCCAAUCUCAAGAUAAUUACACAGCCUUGGACAAAGAUGAUGACAUUAUGCAUGAUUAGUACUCAAACAUGUGUCACAAGCUACUGUGUAAAGCCUCUAAAAGAGGGAAGUUUACCCAAUCAGAAUUCAAAUGCGAGACUUUUUCAAUUUAAUCACACAAUGGAAGUAGUGUGUGCUUUAUUAUGAAAAUAGAUGCAUAGUAUUCCCAGACAUUAUUGAGAAAUUUCGUUUCGGCAAAUAUCUAAUACAUGUAUAUAAAGAUCACGGCUGUAGCUAGGCCAGUCUAAAAAGCUGAACAUUUUCGUCCGACAACCACUGUUUUGUGUAGACCGCAGUGUGUUUUGGGUCGUUAUCAUGCUGGAAAAUCCAAUUAUCUUCAUACAGUGUUCGGGCCGUUGCAAGGAGGUGAUCAUUUAAGAUGUCAAGAUAUCAUUCCUUCGUCACAUGUCCAGUGAAAAUACACAACGGCGCCACUCCACAUAAUGAUAUCCCACACAACAUGUGAAAUUUCGGGCUAU
rnacentral:lncRNA from 1 species